rnacentral:hammerhead_ribozyme from 1 species
GUCCAGCUGACGAGUCCCAAAUGGGACGAAACGCGUGUCCUGGAU